CAGUAGCCGCGGGAAUACGGAGGGUGCAAGCGUUAAUCGGAAUUACUGGGCGUAAAGCGCACGCAGGCGGUCUGACAAGUCAGAUGUGAAAUCCCCGGGCUUAACCUGGGAACUGCAUUUGAAACUGUCAGGCUGGAGUCUUGUAGAGGGGGGUGGAAUUCCAGGUGUAGCGGUGAAAUGCGUAGAGAUCUGGAGGAAUACCGGUGGCGAAGGCGGCCCCCUGGACAAAGACUGACGCUCAGGUGCGAAAGCGUGGGGAGCAAACAGGAUUAGAGACCCGUGUAGUCCCUGUCUCUUAUAA
rnacentral:rRNA from 1 species